AUAUAACUUAAAAACAAAAUAUGUGUAAAACAAAUUACUAUAGAAAACAAUUCAUAAAAAUAAAAAUAAAUAACAUAUUCCGUUGCUACAAGUACCAAAAUGAAGUGGUCACACUGUAGAAUUCGAAUCCGAUGAAAAAAUACUGAUAAAACAGUCCGUCCCAUAUCUGGCAAUCACUUGUUAAAUAUACCGAUAGUGUGAGACCCAAAUUUGGUACUCGUAAAUUUACUUUUGUAUAUUGUUGAGACCCAAAUUUGGGACUCAUGGCCAAAUUGAGUAACAAGUCGAAAACCCCUCGGCGCUCAACGUGUUAAUAUCUAAUUAGUAACAUUUAUAAUUACAUUUUUCUAGAUGUGAUUUCGAAUUAUGGAAACAGGAAAUAUGGACCUGUGGACGAAUACUGUAUUGCUAUGACCAGUGAUGAAUUCAAUAAUCCAAAUAUUCCUAUAGAAUAUUUUAAAAUAAUAUUUAAUGACGUCAUACCAAAAAAUAUAUUUUCUAAUGCUGAGGAUUCCCAAUCGGGGAAAUUCCUUCCCAAAGAAGAAAUUAAAGUCUACUUGGGCCCACGGGGGGAUAUAGUGAUGAUGGGAUUACAAAAAUAUUUAUAUUAUUUUUAAAUGUUUAAAAUGGAAAUUACUAUAUUAGUUUCCCGAUUAUCGGGCAUCGAUAAAAAUUAUACAUUAUUAAUUUUUCAUUAUAUUUACUUAUAUUAUUUAUAUUUUUUAUUAAUAUUUUUGUGAUUAUAGUCAAUCAUCUUCUCUUA